rnacentral:misc_RNA from 1 species
ACAAACUUGGUCAUUUAGAGGAAGUAAAAGUCGUAACAAGGUUUCCGUAGGUGAACCUGCGGAAGGAUCAUUACCGAGUACCGGAGCCCUCGGGUUCCUACUCCCACCCUAUGUUGACUUUAAACGUUGCUUUGGCGGACCGGGUUAGACCGCCGGCCUAGGCUGGAUAGCGUCCGCCAGAGGAUUUUAAACUCUGUAAUUGUGAACUCCGAGUACCUAGAAAUUGAAUCAAAACUUUCAACAACGGAUCUCUUGGUUCUGGCAUCAAUGAAGAACGCAGC